CAAAAAUUCAGGCAUGUUUGGGACAUCGUAAGGACCUCCAGCGAGAAAUUUUAGCAAAUUUUCACGUGGGAUUCGUUAAUUGCGAAUAUUUUAAGCGUCAUUAGCCGAAGAAACGAAAAAGCAAACCCCCGUUUGGCUCCCGAAUUGCAAAAUGCCACCUUGCCUUGGCUUGGCAUGGGCAGGGGAAGGUCUAGUCCAGGCCGCGAAAAAAAAAUCCAAACCGGUAUGACCUUAAUAAUACGGGUGCGCAGGCGCGCGCGAGGAAUUUCCGCCCCUCGACGUAGUUUGGCCCGAGCACGUGCUCCCCGCGAGAUUUGGCCUACCCAAAAUUUCGACAACGCGGGCGCGCGCUGGAGAUUUUUGCCUCCGAUCCCCUCCCGACGUGAUUNNNNNNNNNNNNNNNNNNNNNNNNNNNNNNNNNNNNNNNNNNNNNNNNNNNNNNNNNNNNNNNNNNNNNNNNNNNNNNNNNNNNNNNNNNNNNNNNNNNNGGGGAAUGGUGGGAGAGAGCCAGGGGGCAAGGGGAGGGAAGACACGAGUAAGGAGGUGCGUCGACGAGGGGGAAGAUGUUGGGGCGCAGAGAGAGGGGGGGCGGAAAAACCCAAGGGGGCAGGCGAUAAUUAAAGGCGACGCAUUAAGUGAGAAGGGACGUAGAUGGGGAAAGCGAAGGUCAUGUCAAGCACCGCGUCCGAGAAAAUCGAUGAAUACAUGCGCACCGCGAGAAGACACCACAUAGGAGAUGUAAGCGGAGCAUAGGUAUAAAUUCAGAAGCCACCGCAACACCAAGCAAUGGUGCGGGAUGGUUCAAAGUCUAACAAGCCACCAGUGUACCAAUUUAUGGGUAAACCAAACAGGAACAACGGACAAACAUCGAAGACACAAAGUCAACAAUGAAAAAUGAUCAGGAUCAUAUGCAAACCGUUCAAAGCCAAAGCAUUGAGCCAGCAAACACAAACAUCCACGCUACCACUCACAUGCCCUCGCGUCUGCAAAAACCAACAUCGCGGAACACAUCCCACACCCCACAAUGCCGAGGCAUGCAGGCAUAUGGAAGCAUCCAACAACGCCGACUCCGCUUCGCUAAGCAUGAAAAUUAAGGAGACGCACAAGUUUUUCCGAGAAGGGACCAACACGGCUAUGUUUAUUGACCUGCACUGCAACUCAACAUAAACACAGCAAAGAUUAAGAGGACGUGAGUCAACCCAAAUUCAAUGCCACGAGAGAGUUUUGUAUGCAAGUGCUAGUCGCCCCGCACCGUUACAAGGGCACAAUUUUUUCCGAGGAGGGACCAACACGGCUAUGUUUAUUGACCUGCACUGCGUAAGCAAAUGCUAGUCGCCCCGCAGCGUUACAAGGGCACAAGUUUUUCCGAGAAGGGACGUGCACGGGUUUCUUACUAGCUACGCUAGCCGCCCCACCGUACAUGGGCGGCGUGAGAAAGAGGCAGAAAUUUUGCUUUACCGUGACCAAGACAGUGUUUGGCCAAGACGAGGCAUGAACAAACGUUGAACUGCAUGUUUGGCCUGUGCCUGCCCAAGUCACGAACGGCAAGACGACCCCCUCUUUCCCACGCUGGUGGCUGGGCCUUCCGACGGGACGUGGAAAAUAUGAAUCAAUCCUACUCUUCCAUGACAACGACAAAGUUUGGCCAAGACGAGGCAUGAACAAAUGUUGAACUGCAUGUUUGGCCUGUGCUUGCCCAAAGUCAAGAACAGCAAGAUUUCCCCCUAUUUCCCACCAAAUCUGCCCCAAAUUCAUCAAAAUGAUCCGAAUUUAUCAAAAUCUUUUGAUGAAAGCAGCUCAAAUUGAUGAAUUUGGGGCAGAUUUGGGGGGAGCAGCUUGUUUUUUGGUGGCUGGGGGCUGCCUGGGCGCGCCCCAUACAGUCCCCCAGCCAUGCCCAGCCAUGCCCCAACAAGGUGCUCCCCCUAUAUAUGCUUGAUGUGCCAUUUCCAAUUUUGUAGAAAAAAGGGUGAAUUUUCCCUGCAGGCAUAAAGUCCCGAAAAAGUGACUUAGAGGUUGAAUUUGUCCGCGAUUUUUUUGCAGGCAUGUUAGGGACAUAAAAACAACAUCUCCCACAAAAAAAUUAGAAUUUUCCGACGAGGGACGGAUUAAAUAUGAAUUUUUUACGCGCCAAAAAGUAAAGAAAGCGUGACAUCAAAACAUCGACCUAGAAAUCGAAUUUUGAGCUGAUUUUUUGCAGGCACCUCAAUAAAAAUACAUCUAGAGGAUCUGCAAAGUUGCGUAGAAAACCGACAACGUUUCGAUUUAUUUUGAUUUUUCGACCGAAACGCGCAUAAUCGCAACUUUUUUUUUCAAAUGAGCACCCAUCCACGGGACGAAUCUUGUCCCCCAAAAAUUGUAAGGACCUCCAGCGAGAAAUUUUGGCAAAUUUGCACGCGGGAUUCGUUAAUUGCGAAUAUUUUAAGCGUCAUUAGCCGAAGAAACGAAAAAGCAAACCCUCGUUUGGCUCCCGAAUUGCAAAAUGCCACCUUGCCUUGGCUUGGCUUGGCAUGGGCAGGGGAAGGUGUAGUCCAGGCCGCGAAAAAAAAAUCCAAACCGGUAUGACCUUAAUAAUACGGGUGCGCAGGCGCGCGCGAGGAAUUUCCGCCCCCCGACGUGGUUUGGCCCGAGCACGUGCUCCCCGCGAGAUUUGGCCUACCACAAAAAUUUCGACAACGCGGGCGCGCGCUGGAGAUUUUUGCCUACGAAUCCCCUCCCGACGUGAUUUGGCCCGUGCCUCGUGGAGAUUUUUGCCCACGAAUCCCCUCCCGACGUGAUUUGGCCUGUGGCUGCCCAGGCCAAGAACGGCAAGAUUUCCCCCACUUUCCCACCAAAUCUCCCCCAAAUUCAUCAAAAGAUCCCAAUUUAUCAAAAAAAUUUGAUGAAAAUGGGGCAGAUUUGGGGGGAGCAGCCUGUUGGGGAGUGCCUGGGGGCGCCCCAGCCAUGCCCCAGCAAGGUGCUCCCCCUAUAUAUGCUUGAUGUGCCAUUUCCAGUUUUGUAGAAAAAUGGGUGAAUUUUCCCUGCAGGCAUAAAGUCCCGAAAAAGUGACCUAGAGGUUGAAUUUUUUCACGAUUUUUUCCAGGCAUGUUAGGGGCAUAAAAACAACAUCUCACACAAAAAAUUAGAAUUUUCCGACGAGGGACGGAUUAAAUAUGAAUUUUUUACGCGUCGAAAACUCAAGAAACCGAAGAAUCAAAACAUCGACCUAGAAAUCGAACUUUGAGCUGGUUUUUUGCAGGCACCUCAAUAAAAAUACAUCUAGAGGAUCUGCAAAGUUUCGUAUAAAACCGACAACGUUUCGAUUUAUUUUGAAUUUUCGACCGAAACGCUCAAAAUCGCAACUUUUUUUUCAAAUGAGCACCCAUCCACGGGACGAAUCUUGUUCCCCGAAAAUUCAGGCAUGUUUGGGACAUCGUAAGGACCUUCUCCGAGAAAUUUUGGCAAUUUUGCACGCGGGAAUCGUUAACUGCGAAUAUCUUAAGCGCCAGAAAGUCAAGAAAGCGUGACAUCAAAACAUCCACCUAGAAAUCGAAUUUUGAGCUGGUUUUAUGCAGGCAUCUCUAUAAAAAUAAAACUCGAGGAUCUGCCAAGUUUCGUAGCAUUACGGCAACGCCUCGAUUUAUUUACAUUUUUCGACGACACGCGCAAAACCUCAAUUUUCCCCAAGUGCGCGUCCACCCACGGGUCAAAUUUUGAUCCCCAAAUAUUCGGGCAUGUUUAGGACAUCAUGACGACCCCCGCCGCAAAAUUUUGGGGUUUUUAGACUUGGCACGGAUUAAAUGUAAGUUCUCCGCGCGCCUCGAUUUAUUUUGAUUUUUCGACCAAAGAGUGCAAAAUCGCAAGAACGUAG
rnacentral:lncRNA from 1 species